AAUCCGUUACCAUAAACACACCAAUUCCUUCGACAUGACAGAUGUCAUGUGAAUGGAUACUACAUCUAAACUUUUUAAAAUCGUCAUCACGUGUCUGUUCUGUAACCGAGACCAUGAAAAUCGAUGAAACAUAUUGUAUAUUGUAUAUAUACACGAGAAUUGUUGGAGCUUCAUAAGUGAAAAUAAGUGAAAAUGAAGGAAAAACUGAGAGGAAAUUACAGAAGUUUCGGUCUGUAAGGAAAAAAAAGAUGGCCUACUGUCAAACCUAGAAUAUUUCACCGGUCGUGAGCCAAGGACUGACGUCAGAGAAACCGGAGCGUCGGGGAGGGAUGAGAGACGAGGGGUGAAACAUUGAACUAUCGGCGCCACGGAGCAAUGACGUCAUUUGAGGCCGGUGGUAUGAGUUUGUGUGAGUAUCCUCUACAACGACAAAGCUUGCACGUAAUAUCCCUCUCCCUUCAACACAUGCCCUUUCUUCGGGGAAGUUUGAAAACGUAGCGCACGCCACCGAAACCCCCAGCGGCCAUUACUAUUACGCGCGAAAAGGGGUUGCUACCGCUGGCGUAUCUGCCUCCCCCGCUCAUUCUCUCUUCACCAUUCUCCCCCUGUCCUCCCCUCACCGGCGCGCGAACCCCACCCCGAAAAUCCAUCUGACUAUUCAUCUUCUCAGAUCCUUAUAUUGCAAACAGCAAGACCUUUGCAAAUUCCUGUCUGAUCCGCUGGGGGUGAAAAAAAGGAAGAUUAUUUUUUCUGGGCGUAAUGAGCAGUUCACGGAUUCAAUGUAUAUCUUUCUCCUAUGAUGUCUCCAGAGGAACUAACCCUUAGUGACCAUUAGCUGGCCCAGUCCGUCACACUUGGGGAGCUUCCCUGAGAUGGAAAAUGGCGAACGGGGCCGGAUAAUAGUGAUAGGAGAAGGGACCAAGUGGAAGGAAUCGGGGGUCACGAGAAAUGAUUUUUAGAAUUAGCAGUUAUUUGAAAUUGAGGAGUGAAGAAGGUACCACAGUAGGUGGUGGACGGAGAUUGUUAGGGCUCAGACGUUGUAUUUAAUUAAUUAGAGUCAGUAGAGUUAAAGUUCAUGUUAAGUGCUAAGUUCAAGUGUAAAGACAGUACUUCAUAUUAAUUAUAUGGACUUACUAGAUA